UACGGGGGGAGCAAGCGUUGUUCGGAUUUACUGGGCGUAAAGGGCGCGUAGGCGGCCCUUCUUGUCGCGUGUGAAAGCCCCCGGCUCAACUGGGGAGGGUCACGCGAUACUGCUCGACUUGAAGGCAGGAGAGGGAAGUGGAAUUCCCGGUGUAGUGGUGAAAUGCGUAGAUAUCGGGAGGAACACCGGUGGCGAAGGCGGUUCUCUGGGCCUUACCUGACGCUGAGGAGCGAAAGCGUGGGGAGCGAACAGG
rnacentral:rRNA from 1 species